CCUACGGGAGGCAGCAGUCGGGAAUAUUGCACAAUGGAGGAAACUCUGAUGCAGUGACGCCGCGUGCAGGAAGAAGGUUUUCGGAUUGUAAACUGCUUUAGACAGGGAAGAAACAAGACAGUACCUGUAGAAUAAGCUCCGGCUAACUACGUGCCAGCAGCCGCGGUAAUACGUAGGGAGCAAGCGUUAUCCGGAUUUAUUGGGUGUAAAGGGUGCGUAGACGGCUAAUCAAGUCAGAAGUGAAAACCCAGGGCUCAACUUUGGGACUGCUUUUGAAACUGAGUAGCUAGAGUGCAGGAGAGGUAAGCGGAAUUCCUAGUGUAGCGGUGAAAUGCGUAGAUAUUAGGAGGAACACCAGUGGCGAAGGCGGCUUACUGGACUGUAACUGACGUUGAGGCUCGAAAGCGUGGGGAGCAAACAGGAUUAGAUACCCUAGUAGUC
rnacentral:rRNA from 1 species